rnacentral:rRNA from 1 species
UCGAGGAUCUUCCACAAUGGGCGAAAGCCUGAUGGAGCGACGCCGCGUGUGCGAUGAAGGCCUUCGGGUUGUAAAGCACUGUCGAGGGGGAGAAAAGGAAACUUGAUCUACCCCUGGAGGAAGGACGGGCUAAGUUCGUGCCAGCAGCCGCGGUAAGACGAACCGUCCUAACGUUGUUCGGAAUCACUGGGCUUAAAGGGCGCGUAGGCGGUCGGCAAAGUCAGGGGUGAAAUCUUUCGGCUUAACCGGAAAAGUGCCUUUGAAACUAGUCGACUCGAGCGAGAUAGGGGCACGUGGAACUUCCGGUGGAGCGGUGAAAUGCGUUGAUAUCGGAAGGAACGCCGGUGGCGAAAGCGACGUGCUGGAUCUCUUCUGACGCUGAGGCGCGAAAGCUAGGGGAGCAAACGGGAUUAGAUACCCCGGUAGUCCUAGCCCUAAACGAUGAGUACUAGGUUGUGGACUUGACAUGGGUUCACAGCCGAAGCAAAAGUGCUAAGUACUCCGCCUGGGGAGUAUGGUCGACG